AUUGAACGCUGGCGGCAUGCCUUACACAUGCAAGUCGAACGGCAGCGCGGACUUCGGUCUGGCGGCGAGUGGCGAACGGGUGAGUAAUGUAUCGGAACGUACCAUUGAGUGGGGGAUAACGUAGCGAAAGUUACGCUAAUACCGCAUAUUCUCUCCGGAGGAAAGCAGGGGACCGCAAGGCCUUGCGCUCUUUGAGCGGCCGAUAUCAGAUUAGCUAGUUGGUGGGGUAAAAGCUCACCAAGGCGACGAUCUGUAGCGGGUCUGAGAGGAUGAUCCGCCACACUGGAACUGAGACACGGUCCAGACUCCUACGGGAGGCAGCAGUGGGGAAUUUUGGACAAUGGGGGCAACCCUGAUCCAGCCAUGCCGCGUGAGUGAAGAAGGCCUUCGGGUUGUAAAGCUCUUUCGGCCGGGAAAAAAUCGCAUGGAUUAAUACUCUGUGUGGAUGAUGGUACCGGAAUAAGAAGCACCGGCUAACUACGUGCCAGCAGCCGCAGUAAGAC
rnacentral:rRNA from 1 species